rnacentral:rRNA from 1 species
UGGUGGGUAGUUUGACUGGGGCGGUCUCCUCCUAAAGAGUAACGGAGGAGCACGAAGGUUAGCUAAUCCUGGUCGGACAUCAGGAGGUUAGUGCAAUGGCAUAAGCUAGCUUGACUGCGAGAGUGACGGCUCGAGCAGGUGCGAAAGCAGGUCAUAGUGAUCCGGUGGUUCUGAAUGGAAGGGCCAUCGCUCAACGGAUAAAAGGUACUCCGGGGAUAACAGGCUGAUACCGCCCAAGAGUUCAUAUCGACGGCGGUGUUUGGCACCUCGAUGUCGGCUCAUCACAUCCUGGGGCUGAAGUAGGUCCCAAGGGUAUGGCUGUUCGCCAUUUAAAGUGGUACGCGAGCUGGGUUUAGAACGUCGUGAGACAGUUCGGUCCCUAUCUGCCGUGGGCGCUGGAGAAUUGAGGGGGGCUGCUCCUAGUACGAGAGGACCGGAGUGGACGCAUCACUGGUGUUCGGGUUGUCAUGCCAAUGGCAUUGCCCGGUAGCUAAAUGCGGAAAAGAUAAGUGCUGAAAGCA